rnacentral:SRP_RNA from 1 species
GAUUGGGUCCUGUGCAAAUAGUACCCGUGAACCGAGUCAGGGCCGGAAGGCAGCAGCUCUCAGCGGAACUACUGUUGUGCCGCAGAUAGCCUAAUCGUC